UUCCAGUGUUUGCCUCCCUGUGUAUGUGUUUUAGACAGCAGCUUCCUUGUUAGUGUAAUGCAGCCUGUUUCUUGUAUGGGUUGCUCUAAGGGACCUUGGAGACAAGC
ensembl:snoRNA SNORA70 Small nucleolar RNA SNORA70